UUUUCAGACAAUCAGAGGAAGGUCAAAUCGGCUGGCAAAACACGAGACGCCCAAACAACUUGACUGACCUCAGAGUCAGUUAUUUAAAUGAUGCAGAAGUGGUCGUCUGCGACAAACAAGUCAACAAACAGCGUUAUCCGUCACCAAAGAAUAACCAAAGACGACCAGCCCCGCCCACACCAAAGGAUUCUAAUGUCUACGGCAACAUUUGAAUAAACAGCCUGAGCAUCGAUUUGGAUACGCUUUCUCUUCUUCUGCUGUCAAGUUUCAAUUUAUACUUCACUACUUCAUUUAUGAUCAUGUUAUUCUCGCUUGCUCUGCUUUUCACUUCAAUGGCAAAUGUUUACUUUUCAAUUAAGGAAGAAAUAAACAAUAAUUAAUCACUAA